AAAUGCGAUAAGUAGUGUGAAUUGCAGAAUUCAGUGAAUCAUCGAAUCUUUGAACGCACAUUGCGCCCCUUGGUAUUCCAUGGGGCAUGCCUGUUCGAGCGUCAUCUACACCCUCAAGCUCUGCUUGGUGUUGGGCGUCUGUCCCGCCCCCGCGCGUGGACUCGCCCCAAAUCAAUUGGCAGCGUUCCUUGCCCCCUCUCGCGCAGCACAUUGCGCUUCUCGAGGGCGGCUCCGGGACGCGAUCCAGCAAGAUGACCACCGUCUUUGACCUCGGAUCAGGUAGGGAUACCCGCUGAACUUAAGC
rnacentral:misc_RNA from 1 species